GCACGGAGAGCAAGAGACAAAAGAAGAUGGAGAAGAGGGGAGGGGCGCAGAGGGUUAGGUAUCGGUGAUGGCUUUUUGGACGGGGUGUUUGGUCCUUACGACAUAUGCGGCUACGGGUCGGGGAUUUUUGCAUGCUUUUUUCGCUUUUCUUUAUUUAGAUUGUCCAAAACCAAAAGCGCGGCCGCUGUGUUAUUGUAUACUCAUGUAUAUUGCUGGUGUUUUCAUUUCUAGGAGGAACUUUAUGGUGCCAUUUUACAAGUAGACAUUGCUUAGCAUUGGUUAACGAAGAAAAUGAAAAAAAGCAGCUUAAUGAAACGUUGUCCAAACCAAAAAAGAAAAGGGAGAGUCAUGUCAUGUCGUUGGAAACCUCGACUGGUAACGAAUAUAUAGCCGAACCAAAAUGUACAGAUAUCAAAGCAACAACAUACAGGUAAAAAGGAAGAUAAAUGGCGAGUUGAGAGAGAAAUAUAUCAAAGCAGCGACAGGGGGUGGGUAUAUGUGAUACAUAUGUGGAUAUGGUUACAAAGGCGUGGAUUUCCCGUUUUGUUGUUUUGAUUUUUCUGUUGUUUGAAAAAAAUAUGAAAGUUAAGAAGAAACAGGAGGUAAUGUGUUUUAACUUCCCUUCCCUCUCUUUCUCUCUCUCUCUCUCUCUCUUCGCGUGGUUUGUCGAUGAUCGUAUUUAGGUAAUAAUCAACCUAUAGCUCGUCCUUGCCUGUUUCGUGGGUAGCAGCAUUCGUCGGAGAGCUGACGAUUCUGCUCGCGGCGGACGACACCGACUCAAGUGAUGCGGUAGCAGCAGAGAGUGCAUCGUGAUAUCUCGAAGAGGCGUCCUCAAUAAUACUAGUCGAUUUGGCCGGUUCGAUGGCGGUCCCUACUGAGGAAAUAGAGUACAGAACCGCAUCUAAACUGGCAGAUGCUAGCGAGGAUACGACACUGAAUUCAGAAUUGGCUUCCUCAAGAAUUAGCUUGCUGGGCUUGUUGCUGACCAGAAUGUUAGUAACAGUGGUUUCUUUAGUAGGUGGCACGGAACUAGAUGUGGAGUCGAUAAAAAUGGAAUAUUCGUCAUGAGCAAGGCGAACGGCUUCAUAAUAACGGCGGCGUGCAUCGAGGAUGAUUUGCUGGGCGGGAACCUCUGUUUCGUCAGUGCCGCUUGCCACUGCGCUUGCGAGGCUGAGAGAUGCGCGCUCGAGGUUUUUUUGCAGCUUUGCGGAAGCACUAGCGAGGAUGUCAUCGCUUACUGUCAGGGUUGGGGUAGGGCUAAGGCGAAUCCCUGCGUAUUCUGAUGCUGCUUUGAGCUGAGAUUCAAGGUUUUCACUCGCGUGUUGGAGAGAACCCGAGUAAGCAGAUUCAAUCAACGACACAAUUCCUUCGUCUGGGGCUCCAGGAUUCUGAGCGCUGGCAGCUGAAUGUGCAAUGUCAUAGAGAUUCUUGGCCUG
rnacentral:sRNA from 1 species